rnacentral:misc_RNA from 1 species
UGGCUCUCGCAUCGAUGAAGAACGCAGCGAAAUGCGAUAAGUAAUGUGAAUUGCAGAAUUCAGUGAAUCAUCGAAUCUUUGAACGCACCUUGCGCUCCUUGGCAUUCCGAGGAGCAUGCCUGUUUGAGUGUCACGUGAAACCCUCACACUCGCGAUGUUAACAUGUCGCGAGCCGUGGAUUUGGACCGUGCCGUUGUUGGCUCGUCCUGAAAUGUAUUAGCCGUGCGUGUCUUGCUUAUGCGCCUCCCGGUGUGAUAAUUAUCUACGCCGUCACGGGGACAAAACGCCUGACUGCGGCUCAAAACCGUCUUCGGACAACUUUCAUUAACGCUCUGGCCUCAAAUCAGGCAGGACUACCCGCUGA